GUCUACUUGAGCUCCCACCAACGAUCUGCUUCCCCCACCAGCAUAUAGGAAGCAAGAGUAACCCUCUGCUCAGGAACCACUCCUAAGGUCUUGAAAGCCUUCUCUGUCUCUGCCAACCAGUACUGGGCAUCUUCGAAAGAGGACUCCCCUGUAAAAGUGGAAGGGUUUAGUCUCCUGUACCUCUCUACGUAGCCCGGGUCAAUUAGGGAAGGAGCUAGGUCUCGUGGAAGAGGGACUGGGCGGGGCUGAGGAUAGACUGGGGAGCCCUGUGGUGACACCUGCUGAUAUAGUGGGGGCACCGGAUCAUACUGUGGGGAUGCUGAGCAAUACUGUGGCUGAGGCACUGGAUUAUACUACGGCGGUGGUGCCGGGUGGUACUAUGGAGGAGCAGGCUCUUGCCGGGGUAGCUCGGGAUCCGCCUGCUGUAGCAGUGGCCCAAAUUGUGGUAGUGGGGGAGGGUCGAGUAAUUCCCUUCUCUCUUCUCGACCUUGUUGAGCAGCCAUGAUCCUUUUGAGCAUCUCAAAUAU
rnacentral:lncRNA from 1 species